AGGUGGGUUCUUUACCACUAGCACCACCUGGGACGCCCACAGACUCUUAUUAGAUGGAUUUAAAGUUGAAGAGGUGUGUUGAGAGGGAAAGGCUCCCCAGUUGUGCUUUGUUUUUAUUUAACUAAUCUCCAUGGAUUUCACAGCUAUAGUACAGAUGAAGGAAGGGUUUCCCGCAGGAGCUGAGCGGUAAAUAACCCGCCUGCAAUGCGGACCCCUGGGUCUGGAAGAUUACUCAUGAGAAGGGUAUGGCAACUCACUCCAGUAUUCUUGCC